rnacentral:lncRNA from 1 species
GCCGGGGCGUCCCCCGCGGGAGCCCGCAGCCACCCGGGACGCGCAUCCAGACGUGGCGCUUCGGACCGGGCACGCUGCGCCCGGGGGCUCGGCGGACCCCGCGUAGCCGCCGCUUCGGAGCUUGUGCGGCGCGGGCUGGCCAGCGGGGCGGCCAGGGCCCGGCCCGCCUCCCCAGCGCCCGCCCGGCUUCUCCCCCUGGCGGUGGGAGCCUCGGCGGCCGCUGGCGACACUAGGCGCACUGAAGCCCGAGCCGAGCCGAGCCCGAGCCGCCGCCGCCGCCGCCGCUGCUGCGCACCGCUCCCGGGCUCCCUCCCAGCGCGCCGGCCGGGGUGUGGGGGGCGGCGGGCCGGAGGGGCGAGGGCGGGCCAGGGGGCGCACACGGGGGUUGGCGCGGAAGACAGGACCCUCAGCCUCGAGGGAGCCCCUAGGUGACCAGGCAAAAUGGCAGUUCCUUCCAGCUGGUCCUCAGAUGGGCACAUCUAUUAGCCUCUGCUCUUGUAAGAAGUUAGCUGCAGAACCCACAUGUGAAUCCUUGUAGGACUCUGGAGAAGAUCAAAUGGGAGCUUAGAUGUGGAAGCUCUUUGGAAACCAAGAAACACUCUGAAAAUGAAAAGGGAAGCAGAAGUUCUCCUUAGCUGAUUUUUCUUCUUGCCUUAUACUGGGUUCUUUAACACCAGAACAAAAAUAAAUAAAUAAAAGAAUCUUCCAGAAAUUCAUGAAGAGACUUCAGGUCAGGAAAGCCUGAACUUUCUCAUCCAACACCCGUUCAAGUCGGAGGAUGCUGAUUAAUUCAUGAUGGAAAGGAGACCUCUGUGGAUUCUAUAACUCAAAGACCCAGGCUGACGGCUGGUGGAAUAGCUACCAUCUCAAACAUGGCGUGAUGCUGCAUCAGAGAGAAAAAUAAGCUCUUGCAUUGACAAUGAAAUGUCUACCCUGUAGUGACUUGUGCUUACUUCCACUCACAAGUGAUUGCCCAGAGCUACUUACCUGGCUCCAAUCUACCACUGGUGCCAUGACACCCAGGAUGCAGCUGUAGGAACACCACUGGGUCCCUGGAUGUCAUGUAAGCCCUUAAGUAAAAGUGCCAUCAAAUGAUUUCUCAGAAAUUAUAAAGAAACAAAAGGACCAUAAACAAGAUAAGGUGGCAUGAGGAAACAUUACAAGUACCUUUCAGAGCUGACUGGCAAAGAAACUCCUGAGGUGACGGUUCUACCCCAAUAUUACUUCUUCGAAGAGCAACCUAACUCUUAGGUGGCCUAGAGGGGCAAGACUGGUGUGGCAAAUUGGGAUCAGCAGUGU